GUCUCUUCGAAGACGUCCAAUAAAAUUGGAACGAUACAAAGAAUAUUAGCAUGGCCACUACGCAAGGAUGACACGCACAAAUCGAGAAAUGGUCCAAUUUGUU
rnacentral:snRNA from 1 species